rnacentral:rRNA from 1 species
GAGGAAUAUUGGGCAAUGCCCGCAAGGGUGACCCAGCAACGCCGCGUGGAGGAUGAAUGUCGUAAGAUUGUAAACUCCUGUUAGAGGGGAAGAAUAGUACCGGUUGGACCGGUAUAUGACUGUACCCUCAGAGAAAGCCCCGGCUAACUACGUGCCAGCAGCCGCGGUAAUACGUAGGGGGCAAGCGUUGUCCGGAUUUACUGGGUGUAAAGGGCGCGCAGGCGGGAUAAAAAGUCAGUGGUGAAAUCCUACAGCUUAACUGUAGAACUGCCUUUGAUACUUUCAUUCUUGAGUUCGGGAGAGAGAGACGGAAUUCCAGGUGUAGUGGUGAAAUACGUAGAUAUCUGGAAGAACACCAGUUGCGAAGGCGGUCUCUUGGUCCGAUACUGACGCUGAGGCGCGAAAGCGUGGGGAGCAAACA